rnacentral:rRNA from 1 species
CCUACGGGAGGCAGCAGUGGGGAAUUUUGGACAAUGGGCGAAAGCCUGAUCCAGCCAUUCCGCGUGAGUGAAGAAGGCCUUCGGGUUGUAAAGCUCUUUCGCAAGGGAAGAAAACUUAACCUCUAACAUAGGUUGAGGCUGACGGUACCUUGAUAAGAAGCACCGGCUAACUACGUGCCAGCAGCCGCGGUAAUACGUAGGGUGCGAGCGUUAAUCGGAAUUACUGGGCGUAAAGCGUGCGCAGGCGGCUUGAAAAGUCAGAUGUGAAUCCCCGGGCUCAACCUGGGAACUGCGUUUGAAACUCUCAAGCUAGAGUAUGUCAGAGGGGGGUAGAAUUCCACGUGUAGCAGUGAAAUGCGUAGAGAUGUGGAGGAAUACCGAUGGCGAAGGCAGCCCCCUGGGAUAAUACUGACGCUCAUGCACGAAAGCGUGGGGAGCAAACAGGAUUAGAUACCCUGGUAGUCCACGCCCUAAACGAUGUCAACUAGUUGUUGGUAGAGUAAAAUCUAUGAGUAACGUAGCUAACGCGAGAAGUUGACCGCCUGGGGAGUACGGUCGCAAGAUUAAAACUCAAAGGAAUUGACGG